rnacentral:lncRNA from 1 species
UUUGUGAUUUGAAGUAACCGAAAGAUGGGUUGAAUGGAAUGAGGGGAUAAAUUGUUAGGUUGUAUUGGGAUGUUUACCUUGUAGGUGUCCCACGGGAUCACCAAUUUAUUGUGCACCUUCGGGAGCAUUUGACUGAUAUGUGUUUCUGCAGAACACUAGACUGAUAUGUACGUCCCUCGGGGCGUUAGACUGAUAUGUACGUCCCUCGGGGCGUUAGACUGAUAUGUACGUCCUUCGGGGCGUUAGACUGAAAUGUGUAUCCUACGGGAUCACAAGACUGCGACUGUACAAGGUGUCCCAAUAGAACUUUAACAAUUUAUUUUCCCCUGACGAGACCAGUAGAGGGUCUCUUACUGAGUAUUGUUAUACUCACCCUUCUUAUGUUUAAUUUUCAGGCAAAGGAAAUAAAGGUGGCAAACCGGCGAGGGGCAGGAAGGAAGCGUGAUUGCCAUAGGAAACGUGUUUUUGCUUCCGCUUAUGAUUUCUUUUAAGGUUUAAGAUGUACUAAAACUUAGUUUACAAACUUUUAUUUGUAAAUAGUGUUAUUGUUAAGUUUUCUUGAAUAUUUGAAAAUCAGGCCUGACAUGUUUUGUUUUUAAAUUGACUUAUGUUUCAAUUUGUAUCAACCAAAGUCUUUUGUCAAAAAUUAACGACCUCGACUUACCCAGAAAAGUUGGGUCGUUACAGUCAUAAAUCACUAGAAGUACAUGAAUGUUAUGAUUUAAUGGUGAAGGAUUUAAUGGUGAAAUUUAGGAAAAGUGUUGCCAUGUAGAGGUGUUCAAAGGAGUGGUCGAGUAGUAGAAAAGUAAGACGUUGGUAGCAAAAUUGUCUGUUUUGUGAUUGGAAAUCUAAGAAAAAUAAGUUAUGUAGAUGGUUUUAAAGAGGACUAAAUACACGGUCAAGUUUAUACGAAACACAUUAAAUGGUUUUAGAAUGGAGGUAUUGGAAAAGAAACAAGGAAGAUGAGCAUGGUUGUCUUGAUGUGACUUUAAGAAACAAUUUUGAGUUUCUUGUGAAUGAAAAGUUACUAGUUUGGAGUUUGAAAGUUGGAAUGUAGUUUAACCAUGUAAACAUAAAAUGUUCAGCGAAAAUGUAGUUUCUAAUCCUUCUCCAGAGGCUAGUUUCAAGUACAAAGAGGUUGGAACUAUCGUUUCGCUAAAAGUUAUCCCAGCUAUGAAGGUUAGUAAGUUGCUUGACCAGGGUACCUGUUGUAUUUGACUAGUGUGGUAGACACCAGAGAAGUCGAUGUUUCUUUGUUAUUUGAAUCAGUGGUGAAAAAGUAUUAUGAUAUUUUUCUAGAAGAGUUUCUAAGAUUACCGUGCUAAACAGAAAUUGGUCUUGUUAUUGAGAUAGAGUUAGACUCGUUCCUAUAUCUAAAGCUUCAUACAAAAUGGCACCAACAGAGUUGAAAGAUUUGAAGGUGCAAUUGAAAGAAAUGUUUGACAAGGACUACAUUCGACGAAGUAUGUUAUCUUGGGGUGCACCAAUUUUUGUUUAUUAAGAAGAAAGAUGGGUCGAUGCACUUAUGUUUUGAUUGUAGAAAGUUGAAUAAGGUGUCGGUUAAGAAUAAAUAUCUUUUACCAAUGAAUGAGGAUUUGUUUGAUCAACUGCAAUAAGUCCAUGUUCUUUAAGAUUGAAUUACAUUCAGGUUAUGACUUGUUGAGGAUUAGAGAACAGUGACAUUCCUAAGGCAGAUUUUCGUUCGAGAUAUGGACAUCACGAGUUCAUUAUGAUGUCUUUUGAGUGGCAAAUGCUCAAACAAUGUUUACGACUUGAUGAACAAAGUGUUUAACGAUCUCUUAGACACUUUCAUGAUUGUAUUUAUUGACGAUAUCUUAAUUUAUUCCAAAAUAGAGACAGCGCAUGAGGAGCAUUUAACAUGGUUUUAGAGGCUCUUCGAGUCAACGAAUUGUAUGCAAAGUUUUCAAAAUGUGAGUUUUGGAUGAGGCCAAGUAUCUUUCCAAGCCAUGUGGUAUCUAGAGAUGACAUUUAUGUGGAUCUCACAAAAGAUUGAAGUUUACUAGUUGGCCUCGACUUUCAUAGUCAGUGAGGUUCGUAGUCUUUUGGGUUUAGCAGGUUAUUACUAACGGUUUGUAUAAGAAUUUUCUCGUAUAGCUACUCCUUUGACUCAGUUAACUAAGAAAAGGGACUCCGUUUGUUUGGGACAAAGCCUAUGAGGAUAGUGUUCAGGAUCUUAAGCAGAAGCUUGUACAACUCCCGUGCUUACCGUACAUGAUGGUUCAGAAAGUUUCGUAAUUUAUAGUGAUGCUUUUAGGAAAGUUUAAAAGGUAUUAUGAUUCAACAAGUUAAAGUAGUUGCUUGUACUCCUCGUGAGGAAAAUUGUCCAACUUAUGAUAUGGAAUUGACAGUUGUGGUUUUUACAUUAAUGAUUUGAAGGCACUAUAUGUAUGAUGAAAAGAUAUAGAUAUUUUCUAACCAAAAGAGUAUAAAAUACUUCACUCAAAAGAAGUUGAGUAUGAGAUAGCAAAGAUGGUUUCAGUUAGUAAAUGACUAUGAUUGUGAGAUUUUGUACCAUCUAGGUAAGGCGAAUGUGGAAGUUGGUGCUCUUCGUAGAAAAGUAUCACAUUUUGACAGCACUUAUUACCAGACAGGUUUCAUUAGACAAAAACCACGAGAGAGCUGAGAUUGUAGUUUUAGUGGGGGAAGUCACCUCACAGUUAGCUCAGUUGUCAGUACAUCCGAUCUUGAGACAAAGAAUUCUUGUGGUUCAAUUCAUUGAUCCUUAUUUGAUUGAGAAGCAUCGCCUAGUAGAAGUAGGGCAAGUUAAGGAGUUUUCCAUAUCCUUUGAUGAUGAACUUAUGUUUGAGAGAGAAUUAUGUGUGCCAACAAAAAUUAAGACAAGGUUAUUGGUUGAGACUCAUAGUUUCCCAUUUCUCAUGCAUCCAAGUAGCACAAAAAUGUAUCCGGAUCUGAAAAGAGUUUGUUACUAGCGUAAUAUGAGGAGAGAAAUGGAAGAUCUUGUUAGUAAGUGCUUAGUAUGUCAGCAAGUUAAGGCACCUAGACAUAAACCAGCAGGUUUGUUACAACCUUUAAGUGUGCCAGAGUGGAAGUGGGAGAAUGUGUCGAUGGAUUUUAUUUCAGGGCUGCCUAAGACCCUGAAGGGUUUCACAGUGAUUUGGUUGUCAUAGACAGGCUUAAAUCAACACAUUUUGUACCAGGAAAUCCACUUAUACUGCUAGUAAGUGGGCAGAGUUGUAUUUAACUGAGAUUGUGAGACUGCAUGGAGUGCCUGUAUCGAUUGUUUCUGAUAGGGAUGCACGGUUUACUUCCAAGUUUUGGAAGGGACUUCAGACUGCUAUGGGUACGAGAUUGGAUUUCAGUACAACCUUUCAUCCACAGACUGAUGGUCAAACUGAACGUUUGAACCAAGUUUUAGAGGAUAUGCUACGAGCUUGUGUUCUAGAGUUUCAGGUAGUUGGGACUCUCAUCUACAUUUGAUGGAGUUUGCUUAUAACAACAGUUUCCAGGCUACCAUCGGUAUGGCACCAUUUGAGGCUUUGUAUGGCAAAUGUUGUAGAACCCCUGUUUGUUGGGUGAGGUUGGUGAACAUAGGUUGAUGGGACCUGAAUUAGUUCGGUCUACUAAUGAGGCUAUUCAAAAGAUUAGAGCACGUAUGCAAACAGCGCAGAGUAGACAGAAGAGUUAUGCAGAUGUACGGCGAAAAGACCUUAAGUUCAUGUGGGAGAAAAGGUAUUCUUGAAGGUAGCACCUAUGAAGGGUGUUAUGCGUUUUGAGAAGAAAGGGAAGUUAAGUCCUCGUUUUGUUGGACCAUUUGAGAUCUUAGAGAGGGUUGGUGUUGUGGCGUAUCGCUUGGCAUUACCACCAUCACUCUCUGCAGUUCAUAAUGUUUUCCAUGUUUCGAUGUUGAGGAAGUAUGUGGCCGAUACAUCUCAUGUAGUGGACUAUGAACCCUUGGAGAUUGAUGAGCAUUUGAGCUAUGUAGAACAACCUGUGGAGAUUCUGGCUAGAGAGGUAAAGAUGCUUCGUAAUAGAAGCAUUCCAUUAGUAAAGGUUUUGUGGCGGAAUCAUCGAAUUGAAGAGGCGACAUGGGAGCGAGAGGAAGAGAUGAGGACUCGUUAUCCAGAGUUAUUUCAGGAUUAGAACUUUCGAGGACGAAAGUUUCUUAAGAGGGAAGAAUGUAACGCCCCAAACUUGAAGGUAAAUUAUUUUGAGAGAAUUAUUUCGAUUUGUUCAAGAUUUUUUUUUAAAUAUGUUGAAGGGGAGAAAGAAGAUUUGAAAAUGUAUUAAUAUAAUUAAAUAUAUAUGUAUUUAAUUAUAUUUUUAUUAUUAUAUUUAUUCUAUAUUUUAUUAAAUAAAAGAAAAGAAAAUGAAAAUUUUAAAUAUAUAUAUAUAUAUAUAUAUAUAUAUAUAUAUAUAUAUAUAUAUAUAUAUAUAUAUAUAUAUAUAUAUAUUUUUUAUUAUAAUUAUUUUAUAUAUUUUUUUAAAUAAAAAGAAAAAGAAAAUGAAAAUUUCUUUUUUUUCCCUUUUCUUCUUCCUCCCUGCGCCACGACCCUCCUUCCUCUUCUCUCCGUUCGUGCAGCAACCGCCCAACCGUCCUCUUCUCCUUCCGUUCGUGGCCAGCCGCAGCCCAGCCGCAACCACCACCUCUAUCUUCUUCUUCCCGUCCCGCCGCGAAGCAAGACCGCGCCGCUGCCAGUCCAGAUCUGCGGCGCCGUUGCUCUUCCGCCGCUGCCCAACCGUCUCAGCCGGUUCUGUCUCUGUCGAAGCCACGGUUCUGCAACCGUCUCCGCCGGUUCUGUCUUCGUAAAGCCCUGCCGCGCAACCUCUGUUUCGAGCCGCCGCCCAUUCCGUUCUCCUCUGUUUUCUGCACUGCCGCGCGACUCUCCGACCGCGUCAGAUCGUUGAUCGAUUUUGAGGCAGCCGCCACGUCUCCUUUGGCCGACCGCUGACCGACCCACACUUAGGAUUUUUGCUGCGAGUCCGACAGUCGUGCGUUGAGGUGUGCUGCUGUCUCUGUUUUACAAUUUUAUUGAGGUUGCUUUGUUGGUAACAACUUAAGUAUGAAUGGUAAUUGGUUUCAAACUGGUUCAAGUGUUAUGGUUGGAAUGUUUAGCUAAUUUGUUAAUUGGUUCUUGAAGGUGUUGGGAGUAACGUUGGGCUCCCUUAAAUUCACAACCAAUUUGUGAAUUGUUGAGGGUUCAGUUCGCCAAUAUAUCGGUGAGUUGGAACUUACGUUGAGGAAAGUAAGUGAGAUAUGUAUCGUGGAAGUAAUUGAAUUUUGUGUUGUUGUGCUUAGGAUUGUUUCAAGGAUGUUAGUUGAUUAAGGAGCUUCCCCAACUUUGAGGUAAGGGAUUUUCUACUGGACUCACCUAAAGUUUUUGAGUUGUGUUGGACUGUAUGGAUGAUGAUUAAGAUGUACAUGUUUGAUUGCAGACUAAAUGUUUAGUGUAUGUUGUAUUUGACUGGAACAUAUAUAUAUACAUUGAUGUGUGAAUUGAUGUGGAUUGUCGAAAGUAUACAUGUGAAUGACUGAAAUUAUGCUUAUGUGUACAUGAUGAUAUUAAUAGAUUGUGCUGUAUAAAGAUUGGAUGUGAACUAGUGAAUUUGUUUCGGUUGGAUGUGGAUUAUACUGAACUGUGGUUUGUGCUGGUGAACUGAGGGGUGUAUUGACUUGACUGUAUAGUGGAUUGACUGAUGUAUUAGCAUAUUAUUGACAGACAGAUGAUUGUAGUAAAAUAAGUUGACUGUUAGGAUGUUGAAAGAAAGGACUUUGUGAUUUGAAGUAACCGAAAGAUGGGUUGAAUGGAAUGAGGGGAUAAAUUGUUAGGUUGUAUUGGGAUGUUUACCUUGUAGGUGUCCCACGGGAUCACCAAUUUAUUGUGCACCUUCGGGAGCAUUUGACUGAUAUGUGUUUCUGCAGAACACUAGACUGAUAUGUACGUCCCUCGGGGCGUUAGACUGAUAUGUACGUCCUUCGGGGCGUUAGACUGAAAUGUGUAUCCUACGGGAUCACAAGACUGCGACUGUACAGGGUGUCCCAAUAGAACUUUAACAAUUUAUUUUCCCCUGACGAGACC